rnacentral:rRNA from 1 species
AGCGAACGCUGGCGGCAUGCCUAACACAUGCAAGUCGAGCGCUCCCAGCAAUGGGGGAGCGGCGGACGGGUGAGUAACGCGUAGGAACGUAUCCUGAGGUGGGGGAUAACCCUGGGAAACUAGGGCUAAUACCGCAUGAUGGCGAGAGCCCAAAGAUUUAUCGCCUUGGGAGCGGCCUGCGUCUGAUUAGCUUGUUGGUGGGGUAACGGCCUACCAAGGCGAUGAUCAGUAGCUGGUCUGAGAGGAUGAUCAGCCACACUGGGACUGAGACACGGCCCAGACUCCUACGGGAGGCAGCAGUGGGGAAUAUUGGACAAUGGGCGAAAGCCUGAUCCAGCAAUGCCGCGUGGAUGAAGAAGGUCUUCGGAUUGUAAAGUCCUUUCGGCGGGGACGAUGAUGACGGUACCCGCAGAAGAAGCCCCGGCUAACUUCGUGCCAGCAGCCGCGG